AAGAACAAGUUUAUUGCUCAAUUAAAAGUUAGAAGCUUUUUUGUUUAUUUCUUU
rnacentral:tRNA from 1 species